CCUACGGGUGGCAGCAGUAGGGAAUAUUGCUCAAUGGGGGAAACCCUGAAGCAGCAACGCCGCGUGGAGGAUGAAGGUCUUAGGAUUGUAAACCCCUUUUUUUAGAGAAGAUAAUGACGGUAUCUAACGAAUAAGCACCGGCUAACUCCGUGCCAGCAGCCGCGGUAAUACGGAGGGUGCAAGCGUUACUCGGAUGCACUGGGCGUAAAGGGAGCGUAGACGGGAUAGCAAGUCAGAUGUGAAAUCCUAUGGCUUAACCAUAGAAUUGCAUUUGAGACUGUUAUUCUUGAGUAUAGGAGAGGUAGGUGGAAUUCUUGGUGUAGCGGUGAAAUGCGUAGAGAUCAAGAGGAAUACUCAUUGCGAAGGCGGCCUGCUAGAACAUAACUGACGCUGAUGCGCGAAAGCGUGGGGAGCAAACAGGAUUAGAUACCCCAGUAGUC
rnacentral:rRNA from 1 species